AACGAACGCUGGCGGCAUGCCUAACACAUGCAAGUCGAACGCUUGUCCGGCUUCGGCCGGACAGGAGUGGCGCACGGGUGAGUAGCGCGUGGGAACCUGCCCUGUUGUGGGGGAUAACCGAGGGAAACUUCGGCUAAUACCGCAUGCGCCCCCGGACUUGAUCCGGGGGGAAAGAUUUAUCGCAGCAGGAGGGGCCCGCGUCGGAUUAGCUGGUUGGUGGGGUAACGGCCUACCAAGGCGAUGAUCCGUAGCUGGUCUGAGAGGAUGAUC
rnacentral:rRNA from 1 species